UACAGAGGUCUCAAGCGUUGUUCGGAUUCAUUGGGCGUAAAGGGUGCGUAGGCGGCGCGGUAAGUCGGGUGUGAAAUCUCGGAGCUUAACUCCGAAACUGCAUUCGAUACUGCCGUGCUUGAGGACUGGAAAGGAGACUGGAAUUUACGGUGUAGCGGUGAAAUGCGUAGAUAUCGUAAGGAAGACCAGUGGCGAAGGCGGGUCUCUGGACAGUUCCUGA
rnacentral:rRNA from 1 species